AUGGAAGAACAAGAUGAGAUCACCGCGGAGCACGUCGUCGUCGUGGGCGCCGGCCCCGCCGGACUCGCCGUGGCUCUCGGACUGCACAGGAAAGGGGUGAGGAGCGUGGUGCUGGAGUCGUCGCCGGCGCUGCGGGCGUCCGGGUACGCCAUCACGACGUGGCCAAACGCCUUCCGCGCGCUCGACGCCCUCGGGGUCGGCCACAAGCCCACAAGAUCAGGAAGCUCCACCUGCACAUCCAAAGAGGACCCCAUGAGACCUGCCGCGUCACGCGUGACCUGCUGCUCCGGGCGCUGGAGGAGGAGCUGCCGGCGGGCACCAUCCGCUACUCCUCCAAGAUCGUCUCCAUCCACGACCAAGACGGCGCCGCCAAGAUCCUCCAUCUCGCCGACGGCUCGACUCUCAGAGCAAAGGUCUUGA
rnacentral:rRNA from 1 species